GAUGAACGCUGGCGGCGUGCCUAAUACAUGCAAGUCGAGCGAACGGACGAGAAGCUUGCUUCUCUGAUGUUAGCGGCGGACGGGUGAGUAACACGUGGAUAACCUACCUAUAAGACUGGGAUAACUUCGGGAAACCGGAGCUAAUACCGGAUAAUAUUUUGAACCGCAUGGUUCAAAAGAAAAAGACGGUCUUGCUGUCACUUAUAGAUGGAUCCGCGCUGCAUUAGCUAGUUGGUAAGGUAACGGCUUACCAAGGCAACGAUGCAUAGCCGACCUGAGAGGGUGUUCGGCCACACUGGAACUGAGACACGGUCCAGACUCCUACGGGAGGCAGCAGUAGGGAAUCUUCCGCAAUGGGCGAAAGCCUGACGGAGCAACGCCGCGUGAGUGAUGAAGGUCUUCGGAUCGUAAAACUCUGUUAUUAGGGAAGAACAUAUGUGUAAGUAACUGUGCACAUCUUGACGGUACCUAAUCAGAAAGCCACGGCUAACUACGUG
rnacentral:rRNA from 1 species